GACGAACGCUGGCGGCGUGCUUAACACAUGCAAGUCGAACGGAAAGGCCCUGCUUGCAGGGUACUCGAGUGGCGAACGGGUGUGUAACUCGUUGGUGAUCUGCCCUUCACUUCGUGUUAAGCCUUUGAAACUGGGUCUAAUACCUGAUAGGAGCCAUUUUUAGUGUGAUGGUUGGAAAGUUUUUUCGGUUUAGGAUGAGCUCGCGGCCUAUCAGCUUGUUGGUGGGGUAAUGGCCUACCAAGGCGGCGAUGGGUAGCCGGCCUGAGAGGGUGGACGGCCACAUUGGGACUGAGAUACGGCCCAGACUCGUACGGGAGGAAGAAGUGGGGAAUAUUGAAAAAUGGGAGCAAGGCUGAUGCAGAGAAGCCGCGUGGGGGAUGACGGGCUUCGGGUUGUAAAAAACUUUCGCUAGGGACGAAGCUUUUUGUGACGGUACCUAGAUAAGAAGCACCGGCUAACUACGUG
rnacentral:rRNA from 1 species